UAAGAUAAAAAUUAAUAAUAAAUAAAUAAUAAAAGUAAUUUUAAUAUUAAAAUAAAUAAUGGGGGUUAAAGUAUUUUAAUAGAAAAAAUUAUAAAUUUUAUAGUAAAUUAGUAUAAUAAUAGAAAUUUGAAAUAAUUGAAAAAUAAAUUAAAUAAAAGUAAAUUUUAAUUAUUGUAUCUUGUGUAUCAGAGUUUAUUAAAUAUAUUUUUAAUAUAAAAAAUAUCUCGAAUUUGAAAGAGUUAAUUAAUUAAUAAAUUUAAUGUUGAAUAAUUAUUUUAAAUAAUUAAUUAGAAAUGAAAUGUUAUUCGUUUUCAAAUAUAUCUAGUUAUUUUAGAAAAAAAUUUAAUUUUAAAAUUAUUUAAUUUUUUUUAUAAUUAAAUUUAUAAUAAAAAAAAAUAAAUUUUAUAAUUUAAGGGAUAAGCUUUAAAUUAAAAAAUUAUAAUAAAAUAUUAAUUAAAAUUAAAAUUUUUAAAAUUUAGAUUGUUUAAAAAUUAAAGUUUAUUAUAAAAAAUUUUAUUAAAAAUAAAAUUUAUUUAAAUUUAAAUUUUUAAAAAAAUAUAGUAAAUAAUAAAUAAUUAUUAGAAAUAAUGAUAAAAUUAGUAUAAUAAAAUUAAAUAAAUAAAUUAUUAUAUUUAUAAUUAAAUAAAAUGAAUUCGGCAAAUUUAUAUAUUCACCUGUUUAACAAAAACAUGUCUUUUUGAAAAAUAAUUUAAAGUCCAAUCUGCCCACUGAUUUAAUAUUAAAGGGCUGCAGUAUAUUGACUGUACAAAGGUAGCAUAAUCAUUAGUCUUUUAAUUGAAGACUUGUAUGAAAGAUUAGAUGAGAUAUAAACUGUCUCUUAUUUAAAAAUUGAAUUUAAUUUUUUAGUUAAAAAGCUAAAAUAAUUUUAAAAGACGAGAAGACCCUAUAGAGUUUUAUAUUUCUUUAUUAAUGUAUUUAUAUAAAAUUUUAAUAUGAAAAAUAAUUAAGUAUUUUAUUGGGGUGAUAAAAAAAUUAAUUAAACUUUUUUUUAAAUAAAACAAAAAUAAAUGAUUAAAUGAUCCAUAAUUAAUGAUUAAAAGAAAAAAUUACCUUAGGGAUAACUGCGUAAUAUUUUUUUUUAGUACAAAUAAAAAAAAAAGUUUGCGACCUCGAUGUUGGAUUAAGAUAAAAUUUAAAUGCAAAAGUUUAAAAUUUUGAUCUGUUCGAUCAUUAAAAUCUUACAUGAUCUGAGUUCAAACCGGUGUAAGCCAGGUUGGUUUCUAUCUUUAAAAAAAUAAAAUAUUUUA
rnacentral:rRNA from 1 species